GAAAGGAAGAUUAAUACCGCAUAAGAUUGUAGUAUCGCAUGAUAUAGCAAUUAAAGGAAGCAAUUCGCUAUAAGAUGGACCCGCGUCGCAUUAGCUAGUUGGUGAGGUAAUGGCUCACCAAGGCGACGAUGCGUAGCCGACCUGAGGAGGGUGAUCGGCCACAUUGGGACUGAGACACGGCCCAGACUCCUACGGGAGGCAGCAUG
rnacentral:rRNA from 1 species